rnacentral:rRNA from 1 species
UACGUAGGGACCAAGCGUUGUUCGGAUUUACUGGGCGUAAAGGGCGCGUAGGCGGCAAUUCAAGUCAUCUGUGAAAUCUCCGGGCUUAACCCGGAACGGUCAGAUGAUACUGCUUUGCUAGAGUGCAGAAGGGGCAAUCGGAAUUCUUGGUGUAGCGGUGAAAUGCGUAGAUAUCAAGAGGAACACCUGAGGUGAAGACGGGUUGCUGGGCUGACACUGACGCUGAUGCGCGAAAGCCAGGGGAGCAAACGG